UUGAACGCUGGCGGCAUGCUUUACACAUGCAAGUCGGACGGCAGCACAGAGAAGCUUGCUUCUUGGGUGGCGAGUGGCGAACGGGUGAGUAAUAUAUCGGAACGUACCGAGUAAUGGGGGAUAACUAAUCGAAAGAUUAGCUAAUACCGCAUAUUCUCUGAGGAGGCAAGCAGGGGACCUUCGGGCCUUGCGUUAUUCGAGCGGCCGAUAUCUGAUUAGCUAGUUGGUGGGGUAAAGGCCUACCAAGGCGACGAUCAGUAGCGGGUCUGAGAGGAUGAUCCGCCACACUGGGACUGAGACACGGCCCAGACUCCUACGGGAGGCGGCAGUGGGGAAUUUUGGACAAUGGGCGCAAGCCUGAUCCAGCCAUGCCGCGUGUCUGAAGAAGGCCUUCGGGUUGUAAAGGACUUUUGUCAGGGAAGAAAAGGCUGUUGCUAAUAUCAAUAGCUGAUGACGGUACCUGAAGAAUAAGCACCGGCUAACUACGUG
rnacentral:rRNA from 1 species